UCAAAUACAAUGUUUUUUCAUGCCCUAUAACCUUUAAACAUCUCAAUUUGAUCCUUAUAUCUCAAACCCUAAUUCAUUUGGCUUUGUUUCUUAAUGAAACUUAUGGCUCAAGAAACCCUAGUUUGAGGAUUCCAUGGUCAUUGACCUUGAUCAUUUUUGACCAUCCAAUCACCCAACCAUUAAUUCAACAUCAUUUCAUG
rnacentral:lncRNA from 1 species